rnacentral:lncRNA from 1 species
GUGUCAGUUGUUGAAAUGAAGACUGAAUAUGAUAUCUGGUUUCACACGUUUGUAUGAAGUUGUGGGUUUAAGAGGUCUGUUCUUUUUCAGGGAAGCAAACAUGAACGAUUCUGCUGCUUCUGAUGACGUCUGUCUGAUCCAGUCAUCCACAUCCAACAAGCCAAAAAUUACUGAUCUUUGGAAGCAUCUCAAGCAAAAAUGCUGGAGACACGGCAAGAAAGAGAAGGGCUGUGGCAACUAUGUCCAUAUAAUGGAAGCAAACAUGAACGAGUCUGCUGCUUCUGAUGAUGUCGGUCUGAUCCAGUCAUCCAAAUCCACCAAGCCAAAACAUCCUGAUCUUUGGAAGCAUCUCAAGCAAAAAUUCUGGAGACGUGGCAAGAAAGGGAAGGGCUGUGGCAACAAUUUCUAUAUCAUGGAAGCAAACAUGAACGAGUCUGCUGCUUCUGAUGACGUCGGUCUGAUCCAGUCAUCCACAUCCACCAAGCCAUAAAAUCCCGAUCUUUGGAAGCAUCUCGAACAAAAAUGCUGGAGACGUGGCAAGAAAGGGAAGGGCUGUGGCAACAAUGUCCAUAUCAUGUAAGGACGAGAAAAAAUCCCUUCGGAAUGUCGUGACAUGAAACGUUUAAGCAAUAGAAAUGGUGUUCCUUUCAGGAAAUUGAAGCUAUUCCUGUCGUUUCACAAUCACAUUUUGCUCCUUAAUUAUUUGG